rnacentral:rRNA from 1 species
AGCGAACGCUGGCGGCAGGCCUAACACAUGCAAGUCGAACGAAGCCUUCGGGCUUAGUGGCGGACGGGUGAGUAACACGUGGGAACGUACCUUUUGGUUCGGAACAACUCAGGGAAACUUGAGCUAAUACCGGAUGAGCCCUUAGGGGGAAAGAUUUAUCGCCGAAAGAGCGGCCCGCGUUAGAUUAGCUGGUUGGUGAGGUAAAGGUUCACCAAGGCUACGAUCUAUAGCUGGUCUGAGAGGAUGAUCAGCCACACUGGGACUGAGGCACGGCCCAGACUCCUACGGGAGGCAGCAGUGGGGAAUCUUGCGCAAUGGGCGAAAGCCUGACGCAGCCAUGCCGCGUGAAUGAUGAAGGUCUUAGGAUUGUAAAAUUCUUUUACCAGGGACGAUAAUGACGGUACCUGGAGAAAAAGCCCCGGCUAACUUCGUGCCAGCAGCCGCAGUAACAC